rnacentral:rRNA from 1 species
AGCUUCAGUAGCGUAUAUUAAAGUUGUUGCAGUUAAAAAGCUCGUAGUCGCAUUUCUGGCGAGAGGAUCCGGUCCGACCUUUUGGUGGGUUCUUGGGUCUCUUUCGCCAUCCUUGAGUGGUCCGUUCUGGCAUUAGGUUGUCGGAGCGUCAGCCGCUCAUCGUUUACUGUGAGAAAAUUAGAGUGUUCAAAGCAGGCUUAUGCCGUUGAAUAUAUUAGCAUGGAAUAAUAAGAUAGGACCUCGGUACUAUUUUGUUGGUUUGCGCACCAAGGUAAUGAUGAACAGGGACAGUUGGGGGUAUUUGUAUUUCGUUGUCAGAGGUGAAAUUCUUAGAUUUACGAAAGACAAACUACUGCGAAAGCAUUUACCAAGGAUGGUUGCA